GGUAUAGUGAAUACCAUCCCAUGGAACACCUAAACAGUUCAGAUGCACCCACUCUAUCAUCAUUUACAACUCCCAUGGCAUAUCCAGAGCCUGGAGUCUCCACAGGUCCUGUUGGAACCUCUUUUCCUCGAGCCACCUCUACAGCUCCCUCACCAUUGUCCAGUACCUCAGCUAAUGGCCUCAUCAUGGAACCAUUUACCCUCAACUUCACUAUCAUCAACCUGCCUUUCAGAGAAGACAAGCAGGACCCUGGUGCUAUCUUUUUUGGUUCUGUAGAAAGCAGCAUACAGCAGCUGCUCAAUCCCUUAUUCAUGAAAAGCAGCAUUGGUUGUUACUACUCUGGAUGCAAGCUAAUUUCACUGAGGUGAGUCCUGGGGAGCUAAGACUUGGAGUUCUAAGAUUGUCUUCCCUCGGGCUA
rnacentral:lncRNA from 1 species